AGGACGAACGCUGGCGGCGUGCUUAACACAUGCAAGUCGAGCGAGGCCCUUCCUUCGGGAAGGUGCCCUAGCGGCGAACGGGUGAGUAACACGUGGGCAACCUGCCCCUAGCACUGGGAUAACUCCGGGAAACCGGGGCUAAUACCGGAUAUGACCUUCUUGGGCAUCCUCGAAGGUGUAAAGGAUUCUGGCUAGGGAUGGGCCCGCGGCCUAUCAGCUUGUUGGUGGGGUAAUAGCCUACCAAGGCGACGACGGGUAGCCGGCCUGAGAGGGUGACCGGCCACACUGGGACUGAGACACGGCCCAGACUCCUACGGGAGGCAGCAGUGGGGAAUCUUGCACAAUGGGCGAAAGCCUGAUGCAGCGACGCCGCGUGAGGGAUGACUGGCCUUCGGGUUGUAAACCUCUUUCAGCAGGGACGAAGCGAAAGUGACGGUACCUGCAGAAGAAGCACCGGCCAACUACGUGCCAGCAGCCGC
rnacentral:rRNA from 1 species